CGGUCAAAUCACGCUGAAACACCGGUUCUCGUUCGAUCACCGAAGUUAAGCAUCGUAGAGCCAGGUCAGUACUUAGAUGGGGACCGCUUGGGAACACCUGGUACUGUAAG